rnacentral:rRNA from 1 species
GUGAGACCGUCAGCGAAGUUUUCCGGGCUUCGGCUCGACUCUCCCACCCUUUUGUGAACGUACCUCUGUUGCUUUGGCGGCUCCGGCCGCCAAAGGACCUCCAAACUCCAGUCAGUAAACGCAGACGUCUGAUAAACAAGUUAAUAAACUAAAACUUUCAACAACGGGAAUCUCUUGGUUCUGGCAUCGAUGAAAGAA